rnacentral:rRNA from 1 species
UACGGGGGGGGCAAGCGUUGUUCGGAAUUACUGGGCGUAAAGGGCGCGUAGGCGGUUUGCUAAGUUGAAUGUGAAAACUCUGGGCUUAACCCAGAGCCUGCAUUCAAUACUGGCAGGCUAGAGUUCUGGAGGGGAUAGCGGAAUUCCUGGUGUAGCGGUGAAAUGCGUAGAUAUCAGGAGGAACACCGGUGGCGAAGGCGGCAUCCUGGACCGGUAUUGACGCUGAGGCGCGAAAGCCAGGGGAGCAAACGGG